rnacentral:rRNA from 1 species
CCUACGGGGGGCUGCAGUGGGGAAUAUUGGACAAUGGGGGCAACCCUGAUCCAGCCAUGCCGCGUGUGUGAAGAAGGCCCUCGGGUUGUAAAGCACUUUCAGUGAGGAAGAACGCCUGGUGGUUAAUACCCAUCAGGAAAGACAUCACUCACAGAAGAAGCACCGGCUAACUCCGUGCCAGCAGCCGCGGUAAUACGGAGGGUGCGAGCGUUAAUCGGAAUUACUGGGCGUAAAGCGCGCGUAGGUGGCUUGAUAAGCCGGUUGUGAAAGCCCCGGGCUCAACCUGGGAACGGCAUCCGGAACUGUCAAGCUAGAGUGCAGGAGAGGAAGGUAGAAUUCCCGGUGUAGCGGUGAAAUGCGUAGAGAUCGGGAGGAAUACCAGUGGCGAAGGAGGCCUUCUGGACUGACACUGACACUGAGGUGCGAAAGCGUGGGUAGCAAACAGGAUUAGAUACCCUAGUAGUC